UACAGGGGGUGCAACCGUUGCUCGGAAUUAUUGGGCGUAAAGCGCGCGUAGGCGGCCGCUUAAGUCGGAUGUGAAAGCCCCUGGCUCAACUGGGGAAGUGCACCCGAAACUGAGUGGCUUGAGUACUAAAGAGGGUCGCGGAAUUCCCGGUGUAGAGGUGAAAUUCGUAGAUAUCGGGAGGAACACCGGUGGCGAAGGCGGCGACCUGGGUAGAUACUGACGCUGAGGUGCGAAAGCGUGGGGAGCAAACAGG
rnacentral:rRNA from 1 species